rnacentral:misc_RNA from 1 species
GAUGAAGAACGCAGCGAAAUGCGAUACGUAAUGUGAAUUGCAGAAUUCAGUGAAUCAUCGAAUCUUUGAACGCAUAUUGCGCUCUCUGGUAUUCCGGAGACCAUGCUUGUUUGAGUAUCAGUAAACACCUCAACUCCCUUUUCUUUUUUGAAAUGGGAGCUGGACUUGAGUGAUCCCAACACUUUUCUCACUGGAAAGUGGCGGGUCACUUGAAAUGCAGGUGCAGCUGGACUUUUCUCUGAGCUAUAAGCAUAUCUAUUUAGUCUGCCUAAAAAACAGAUUAUUACCUUUGCUGCAGCUAACAUAAAGGAGAUGAGUUCUUGUGCUGACUGAUGCAGGAUUCACAGAGACAGCUUUGCGGCUGACUUUGUAAACUCGAUCUCAAAUCAAGUAAGACUACCCGCUGAACUUAAGCAUAUCAAUAAGCGGAGGA